AGCAGCCGCGGUAAUUCCAGCUCCAAUAGCGUAUAUUAAAGUUGUUGCAGUUAAAAAGCUCGUAGUUGAAUUUCGGGGUUAGUAGGUCGGUCAUGCCUCCGGUAUGCACUGGUCUCACUGAUUCCUCCUUCCUGAUGAGCCAUAAUGCCAUUAAUUUGGUGUUGCGGGGAAUCUGACUGUUACUUUGAAAAAAUUGAGUGUUUAAAGCAGGCUAACGCUUGAAUACAUUAGCAUGGAAUAAUGGAAUAGGACGUUCGAUCCUAUUUUGUUGGUUUCUAGGAUUGACGUAAUGAUUAAUAGGGAUAGUUGGGGGCAUUAGUAUUCAAUUGUCAGAGGUGAAAUUCUUGGAUUUAUUGAAGACUAACUACUGCGAAAGCAUUUGCCAAGGAUGUUUUCAUUAAUCAGUGAACGAAAGUUAGGGGAUCGAAGACGAUCAGAUACCGUGUAGUCUUAACCAUAAACUAUGCCGAUAGGGNUCGGGAGUAUGUUACUAGUUUUGACUUCCUUCGGCUAACCG
rnacentral:rRNA from 1 species